GUAUAGCCUGGUGUGUAGUGGCUGCAAACAGCAGCCUCCUUGGUAGUAUACGCACCCUGUUGCUUGUAUAGGUUACUCUAAGGCACCUUGGAGACAUUC
rnacentral:snoRNA from 1 species